UGUGACUGUCAGAACAGAGCGAGGUGUUACCAUGUCAACGGGGCCUGUCUGUGUGACGAGGGGUUCAAAGGUCCGAGCUGUCAGGACAGGUUCUGUCCCUCUGGACAGUAUGGACUCAUCUGUGAUAAAUACUGUCCCUGUAACGCCUCAAACACACUCAGCUGCCAUCCGUUGUCGGGGGAGUGUGCGUGUGCGGCGGGGUGGGCCGGUCUGUUCUGCAACGAGACCUGUCCGUCAGGUUACUAUGGCGAGGGAUGUAAGGAGGCAUGUGCGUGUGCCAACGGAGCCGACUGUGAGGGCUUCACCGGAGCCUGCGUCUGUGCCCCCGGGUACACGGGUGAUGACUGUUCUCUGACCUGUCCUACUGGGGUGUAUGGGGCCAACUGUUCCUCUCCCUGUUCCUGCCACAACGAGAUCGCCUGCUCACACAUUGACGGAUCCUGCAUGUGCAGAG